rnacentral:rRNA from 1 species
CCUACGGGUUGCAGCAGUGGGGAAUAUUGCACAAUGGGCGCAAGCCUGAUGCAGCCAUGCCGCGUGUGUGAAGAAGGCCUUCGGGUUGUAAAGCACCUUCAGCGGGGAGGAAGGCGUUAAGGUUAAUAACCUUGGCGAUUGACGUUACCCGCAGAAGAAGCACCGGCUAACUCCGUGCAGCAGCCGCGGUAAUACGGAGGGUGCAAGCGUUAAUCGGAAUUACUGGGCGUAAAGCGCACGCAGGCGGUCUGUCAAGUCGGAUGUGAAAUCCCCGGGCUCAACCUGGGAACUGCAUUCGAAACUGGCAGGCUAGAGUCUUGUAGAGGGGGGUAGAAUUCCAGGUGUAGCGGUGAAAUGCGUAGAGAUCUGGGGGAAUACCGGUGGCGAAGGCGGCCCCUGGACAAAGACUGACGCUUAGGUGCGAAAGCGUGGGGAGCAAACAGGAUUAGAUACCCUAGUAGUC